CUCAGCCAGGGGGCGUCACCGCGCUCCACAGAUGUGCAGUACGGACGCACACCUGUGCACGUGGCAGUGAUGAACGGUCAUACGACGUGCGUGCGCCUCCUGCUGGACGGAUCGGACAGCUCGCUCCUCAUCGAUGCUGCCGACUCUCAGGGACAAACUCCUCUGAUGCUGGCGGUGGCAGGAGGUCACGUGGACGCCGUGUCGCUGCU